rnacentral:misc_RNA from 1 species
AACCCUUCAAGCAUUGCUUGGUGUUGGGUGUUUGUCUACGCCUAUGGUAUAGACUCGCCCUGAAAGCAUUGGCAGCAGUUUGCCGGCCUCUCGCGCAGCACUUUGCGCUCUUUGAGGUUUUGGCGGGCUCGACUUCCAUCAAGAUUUUUAACUA